UUAAAGCUAGCCUAAUCAUCAAAAAAACAUAACAUUAUCAAACCCAUUACCAUCCAAAACUCAAUUUAAAACAUUUUUAUGUUCCUAGUAUAGGUGAUAGAACGGAAACUUAGAGCUAUAGAAAUAGUACCGCAAGGGAAAGCUGAAAAAGAAAUGAAAUAAAUCAUUUAAGUACUAAAAAGCAGAGAUUAGUCCUCGUACCUUUUGCAUCAUGAUUUAGCCAGAACAACUGGGCAAAAAGAUUUUAAGUCCAUCUUCCCGAAACUAGACGAGCUACUUCGGAGCAGCAUAUUAGAGCGAACCCGUCUCUGUGGCAAAAGAGUGGGAAGACUCCCAAGUAGAGGUGAAAAGCCUACCGAGCCUAGUGAUAGCUGGUUGCCCAAGAAAAGAACUUAAAUUCUGCAUUAAUUUACUCCAACUUGCCAUAAAUAUUACUUAUAUAUUAAGACAAAUUGUAACAAUUAAUAGUUAUUCAAAAGAGGUACAGCUCUUUUGAACAAAGAAACAACUUUCAAAGGUGGGUAACGAUCAUAAUGUAUUAAGGAAACUCACCUCAGUGGGCCUAAAAGCAGCCACCUGUAAAGCAAGCGUCAUAGCUCCAGCUCUCAUUAAACCAAUAAUCCUGAUAACACUAUCAAAACCCCCUUCCCAAUAUUGGACAAUUUUAUCAUUAGAUAAAAGAACUUAUGCUAAAAUGAGUAAUAAGAGGUUAAACCUCUCCUUAACACCAGUGUAAGUCAGAAAGAAUUAAAUCACUGACAAUUAACCGAUACCAGUCUGAGGUCAACAUACCAAAAAAAAACAACGAGAAAAACCCAUCACAACUAUCGUUAACCCCACACAGGAGUGUUUAAAGGAAAGA
rnacentral:rRNA from 1 species